AGCGAACGCUGGCGGCAGGCUUAACACAUGCAAGUCGAGCGGGACCAUCGGGGUAAGCGGCGGACGGGUGAGUAACGCGUGGAACGUGCCUUCAGGUCUGGAAUAACCCUGGGAAACUAGGGCUAAUACCUGAUACGCCCUUCUGGGGACAGGUUUACUGCCGGAAGGUCGGCCCGCGCCUGAUUAGCUAGUUGGUGGGGUAACGGCCUACCAAGGCGACGAUCAGUAGCUGGUCUGAGAGGAUGAUCAGCCACACUGGGACUGAGACACGGCCCAGACUCCUACGGGAGGCAGCAGUGGGGAAUAUUGGACAAUGGGCGCAAGCCUGAUCCAGCCAUGCCGCGUGAGUGAUGAAGGCCUUAGGGUUGUAAAGCUCUUUUAUCCGGGACGAUAAUGACGGUACCGGAGGAAUAAGCCCCGGCUAACUUCGUGCCAGCCGCCGCGGUAAUAC
rnacentral:rRNA from 1 species